AAUUCCAAUUAAUUAUAGUCGAGUUUCGACUACUGCAGGACCGCCAGUCCUCUUAAAUAUGAUUGUAAUAAUGACAAUGUUUGUCAAAUGUAAAUGAAAUGAUAAUGAUUGUAAGGGCUAAGAACCCACGCAAGUAUAUAAUACCACCCAAUUUGCAAACCUGUUUGCAGGUGAUUCCUGGAACCCAUAGAAAUUACAACGUGAAUGCCAGAAAUAAGUUUGCGCGGCUACAGCUAAAUAAUUAUACGCCUCACCAGUACAGUCGACCUUAGCAAGUUGAAGGUCAUGACGGAUACCAUGUGUCCACAGCAUACUUUCCCCAGGGCCGAACCAAUAUAUUAAGAAUCGUAAAAAAACAUUCAGGUGUUUUUUCGCAAAUAUUAUCAAGAAAUAUCUCAAAAAUAAUGGGCAACUUACGGAAACAGUGUCUACUCAUUAUUUUCCGAGAGGCAGAAAUGGCAGACACAGGGUCUGUCGCGGCCAUCUGGACCCGACUUAUUGGCGGUCAAACGGUGACCAUCGCGGCCCACUGGGCUAAACGUGGUUUCUAGUCUACUGUUCAACGUGUUAAAGGCAUUAUGGCCUAAAAGAUAAAAUACCCUGUGUUCGCAUAUCGAACGAUGCAACUAUGUCGAUGCUCGAAUCCUGUAUGCAAAUACCAAAUUUUCUAAUAAAAUGCAUUCUUAAGUCA